rnacentral:rRNA from 1 species
UACGUAGGGUGCAAGCGUUGUCCGGAAUUAUUGGGCGUAAAGAGCUCGUAGGCGGUCUGUCGCGUCUGGUGUGAAAAUCCAGGGCUUAACCCUGGACCUGCAUCGGGUACGGGCAGACUAGAGUGCGGUAGGGGAGAUCGGAAUUCCUGGUGUAGCGGUGAAAUGCGCAGAUAUCAGGAGGAACACCGGUGGCGAAGGCGGUUCUCUGGGCAUUACCUGACGCUGAGGAGCGAAAGUGUGGGGAGCGAACAGG